rnacentral:lncRNA from 1 species
CUGCUUCUUGAAUCUGGAGGGGGUUAGGGAGGGGGGGCGAUGAUGAUGAGAAGGUACCUUUGACGACCUUGUUGGUGCCUUUAAUGGUGUAGGAAUCGAGGUCCUUCUUGCCGGGCUUGGUCUUGGCCAUCGCCUACCUUCCUCUCUGUACCUCUAUCUCUAUGAAGCACUGGUGACCGAUGUUUCUGGAGAGAGAGAGAAAGAAGACGAGGAAUGGGCGAGAGAGAUGUGGGUAAUACUACUGGUUAAAUAGAUGCUUGCAUUCCGUUUUCUCUUUGAUCUCUGGAAUGGGUUGAGGGAGGAGGGAUGAGAGAGAGGAGGGCGGUGGCC